rnacentral:lncRNA from 1 species
CAAAAAAAAAAAUGCGAAUUUGGGGGCCCCACCCCAGAUCUACUGAACAGAAACUCUGUGGAGCCCAGCAGAUGAUUCCCAUGCACACUAAAGUUUGCGAGCCACUGAUCUAAACAUUCUUUCAUCCAUUCAUUCUUCACCUGGCCCACCCAGCAUUGCCAGUGGGAGAGACACCCGCAAAGCACCAGGCUGUGAGCCCCACCGCCGUGCACUCUGAGACACUGUCCACUAGCUUUGGGAUGGCAGGCAGAGGUACUCCAGCUUGGUCUAGUGCAGACCUGGGAAUCAGGACCUGGAAAGGAGGCCCCAGGUGCCAGCCGGCAGGUUAGCUAAUGGCGGCCAAGGGUUACCCCGGAGUGGGGAGUGGGGAGAAGCUGCCUGGUUUGGCCCGUGCUGCUGCACUCAAAGCACCUACCUUUCAAAGUGCAAGAACAGGAAAGUGACCCUCCUCUGCCCCCAGUAAGUGAUGACGGAGUCUCUGGAAGGCCAGACAGAUGGGAUCUUGCUCUUUGCAGCAGUGAGCUAUCCUGACUGGGUGGGUAACCAAGGAGAAGGGCUUUCUGCAGGAGAGGAAAUUCAUUCCUCUCUUCCAAAGUAAGGGCUUCUAUGGCUGUCUGCCUGGAAGGAAACCAAGGCAAAGAGAUUAAAUGUGGAAAAGGUCAACGUUCUGAAAGGGAAGCUUUAUGGGGUCCUUCCCAUACAACGAAGGAACUAGGGGCAGCCACAUAAGCCAGAUGGAUCAGGCCAGUGGGGCUUAAGUAGAGCCCAGAGCCCAGCUUUCCUUGGCUGCAUUCCUACAGGCAGGGGCCAGACACUUAGAGAUACACUGCACCUUCCCUCAGGUCGGAAGGGAGGGGACGGAGCCCCUCCUGGAAGGCUUCAGGUGAAUAUAAAACUAGAGCCCUCACCACCCCAAUCUGUGACAUCACAUGGAAUCUGAUGUUGUUUGAUGGCAUUUCGGGUGUCCCACAACCAUGCCUGCCAUGAAGUCAUGGCUGAUAUUUAUGCCCUGGCCCCACUCUGAUCUCAGGGAGAAUAUCUUACCAUAAAUUGGCAUGCCAUGGCAAACAAUUAAAAGAGAAAAACCUCAGUGCAAUCUCAGGGUGCUCGGAAAUGAGGAAUUACAAGGUGGUGGCAUGAAAAAAUUAUAUAAAAAUCUAUUUUUACAUCACAAUAAUGUGCUUUUAUACGGGUUGUAAUUUCUGGAUGUGCAAUAAAGUGGCUUUUACAUCAGGCAGAAUCAGAGUUUAUAGGCAAUCGGUGCUUUUAUCUGGGAAAAUAUAGCUCACCCAUCUUCACACCAUCCAUCCUGCAGGCAGCAGGCCUUAUCUUCCCCAGCACCAGUGUCUUUGGGGAAAUAAUUAUGCAAUUAAAGUGUCAGCCCACCAACCACCCACCAACCACGCCCCC